UAAUAUCUGAUUAUUUCUUUCAGAUUGAUUCCUUGGAGUGGAAUUAGUAAAAAGGAUAUGAAUAUUUUUAAGUCUCUUGAUAUGUCAGACUGAUUUCCAGAAGGCUUGUACCAAUUUACUCUUCUACCGACAACUUUUCACCACCUGGAAGUGGGGAGUCAGCUCCAGCACAGAGCUUUGCAGGAGGACAAAAGAGACGAUGUGGAUAAAGUGCUCUACAGAUCAUCAGGGGCGGCAAAGGUGAGUAUUACUGUUAGAUGUGUGCAAUAUUUGACUCGCUUCGGAGACUAUAUUUAAGAGAUGGUCUCUGAGGAAUCUUGAAUCAGAAACAGUGUUCACCUCCUCCUGAAGUAGUGCCUGCCCUCACUUUGUGCCUGGCCCCAGUCUUUCCAGGAGGGACAAAAUGCCCUCCUAGAUUCCCACUAAGUACCAGAAACUCAGUAGGACCUCAGCUUCCCCCCUCAGCCUUGACCGGGUGCCCCCAUGCAGGGGUGAGAAAGGUGCAAGUUCAUCCAGGGCACUCAGGAGACCCACUGGGAGGCUGGAGGCUGGUGGCCUCAGAUGCUUUCAAAUCUUCUCCAGGGGGACACCACCCUGGAGUGGCCUGGGGGGCAGAGCAGGCUCUGCCGAGGAGAGCACUGGGGCUUCCACUGGAUGCUGGAUGGGAGUUAGCCAAGAUUCUCUCUGCCCAGAUCUCAAGGUCUUGGCACAUGGGGACUGGGAGGCCCACAUGCUUCUGUAUCCUGUGUGCAGCUGUCUGUGGGGUGGUAUAGAGCCAACUGGGGUGGAGUGGCACGGGGGUGGGGACUCACCAAAACUGAUGGCACUCCCCAGAGAACAUGUCUCUGUGGCCAUCCGUGGAUCUGUGAGUGCAGACCUAGAAGUCACUGUGAAUUUUGCCAAGGACGACAUCCCAGGUUAUAAAGCUGCCACUGGAUUCACCAUGAUUGCACCUGUUAUUGUCACAGGUUCAGUUGGCUGCACUCAGUGGGGCAGGCGGAGUCACCAGGGCUGCCUCUGCUUGCCAAGGAGCCCUGCCACGGGUUGUCCCUAGGCCAGGGAUGGGAGCGGGAGCUGCGUCCACUCUCACUCCCAGCCCCGCCACAACGGCAACUCGCUCCCUGUGAAAUCUGCGACUCUACACUGGGACAUGACAAAUGACCAAAAAAUCAAUUUGUAAUCUGAUUGGAGGUUUUUGAUUUCCUCUGAUGAGUUUAAAUUUCAUUAAAAGCAACCUUAUUCCAACAUAAAAGGAAUCCUUGAAGGGUAAAACGGGGGAUUGUCUCACCGAGUAUAAAGCAUCCCAACUCUUUUGUGUGAUUUAUUCAUGGCAUUAAUUGUGAGGGCCAACCUGUGGUGUCCGUUGGCAGCUGCGCCGUUAUCAGGGCCUGGGAUCGGCCCAGCGAGCUCAAAGCACAAGGACUCACAUUCAAAAAUCACUCUUCGGCAUAUUGACACUUCAGUUAUCAACAACCGUUUUUAUCUGCUGGGAGGGAGAUCGCAGCUCGUGGGGCCGGAGUAAGCCACAGAUCACUGCCGCCGCCGCCUCUCUGCAUUCUCUUAAUUGUAUGUAUUCUCUGGAAAAAAUGAUCAUCGUGGCCUCUUGUCUUGAUGAGAAAUUGACAUUUCUGAGGACUUCUUUGGGCGCUCCGAGCAAGCGAGAUAAGGCGUGGGUUGUUUUAGAGGAGAGCAGCGUUUCUUCCCUUUCAGGGGCCUCUUUACUGCUUGCGUUGACCCACUUGAUGAGUAUGGAUUUCAUGAGGUCUUUUUCAGCAUUUGAACUAUAAAAGGUUCAGAAUGACACCACCCCUUAUAGACAAAAGAUAACCUUGCCCUUUGAAUAUAUCGAUUCUUUAUUAACUAGGCUGUUUAAUGCAAUGAAAUGAGGCAUUAGAUUGAAGCCCAUUUCAAGUGCUUUGAAUAAUCUUUAAAAGCUUGAAAGACCUUAAAAGGCGGCCUGACAAUAAUUGGCAUGCAUUUUGAAAGAAGGCAGUUCUUGCUUCUGAUUUGAAACACAAACAUAAAAUAAUUUCUCCAUCCCCGGGUUACAGGGCGUUGGGUACUCAUGGCACCAGCGCAGAAUGGGAAGGUGGUGACUUGCCCAGCAACUGCUUGUCCCAGCCCCAGCCCCAGCCCCAGCCUCCAGCCACUUGGAAGGGAGCCUGCAGGGGAGGGGAGUGGGCAGGCUUCAGGCUUGUACCUUAUAAGCCUCUCUCUUUGCUGUCUCUUUAAGGCUGAAAUGAGAACCUGAUUGUCAAUGACACGACAAAAAGGUAUUCACAAGUUUCUUUAUGUUUUGAAUAAUUGUUUCCUGUUUUGCUCAGCAGAACAAGUAAUUAAGAUGACAUUUGUGAGUACUAAUUUGGAUCACACUUAUGUGUAUGUGUUAUAAAGCUGCAAGCCAAAACAUGCAAACCCAGCCUUUCACGGAGGAGAAAAUGAAAAAAUACUGAGUGAAAUGGGAGCAUGGGAAACUCGGAGGAGCUGAACAUCAGCGUGUAAAUUAGAACCUCAGUGUUGAUAGCAGAUCUCAUUAUAGUCGGUGCAUUUGGCUACCGACGUGCAGCCAGCAGUGCCCGGGGCUAGUGCAUGGGGUCUGCUGUGCCACUGUGGUGGCAGUGGCAUCCGUGAUGCCCCUCUUGCAGAACAUAGGCGGCGCAGGCAUCUGGGUGCCCUGGUAUCUGCACACCUAUCCAGAGCCUUUGCUGCUGUGUCACUCUUCUAAGCCUGGUUCUUGCCCAGUGGAACCCAACCAUGGAACCAAAAGAAGCAUGUGUCUGGGGUCACCGGAGCCGUUGUUCUCUACCUGCCCAGUGCGCUAUUCAGAAGCAGAGGGGCUGGGGCAGAAGGUCUGGAGGGAGUGGGCUAUGAAGCCCCUCAGUGAGCCUUGGGAUUGUUUGAGUUCUCAAAGACAAGUGCUGGAACAGUGAUUGUGUCACCCCAGUGCUGCUGUGGCCCACAGAACAUCUGUGACACAGAAACAUCAGCCAGAGUGCAGCAUGAAUACAGAUGGCACCUCUGGGGGUCAGGACCACGUAAGUGACAAUUUGCUGAACCUCUCUUUCUAUGCAGGUUAGAGGACGGAGGCUGGAUAACUUUGUGGAAAGUUCCUCUGUGGAUCAUUUUUAUCUUGGCCAAGUUGCAGCUUCAGAACCCGGUCUGGGCUCUGACCGUGCGGUCACCUCUCUGUAUCGUAAUGGUGAGUCAGGGGCUCUCCAGAAUCAAAGCCACUCACAGCCCACCUGCCCUGGAACCUCCAGGCAAGGGCCACGGAGAGAUGUGAGUCACGGCACCGCCUCGGGACCUUUUUUCUCUUCUCAGGAAAGAAGAGAAAACUUUGCACGAAAACGCCAAGUGGGGCUGACGCUUUCACAUGAACUCCUGGUACGAAUGUAAUUUAAAAUCUUUUACCGCUGGUGUUGUUUAAUUUUUGUCAGAAUGAUCGUUCUCAUUAAUUUAUGUAUAACAUAUUAAUACAUUUGUUCAUGUAGUGACGUGAGCUUCAAUUUCUCAGUUCAUUAAUUUCAACAAUAUUAAUUUAUCUCCGACUCACCGUUACAACUUUACGGUUUGGAAGCCCUGUGCGUACACAACGCGUAGGAGGUGCCGUCUUUCAGCCGGCCCGACCCCGUGGCACGGGCAGGGCCGCGGCACCUCACCACCUGCCUCUGCAACGACCCUGGUGUGGUGCCCGCUGAUGGCACGCAGGCCAGUCGGCGGCACUUCGGGGGCCUGGGCGUCCCUUCAUACGCUAACGGAUGUUGUGAAGACAAUGAUUUCAAAUCACUGAUACCUU